GAACAAAAUCACAAAAUAAAAAAAAAAGAAAGAGCUGGACAAAACGCUGAUAAAGUCAGCGUUUCAUCACAGACAAUCGGGCACACACGAGCAGAAACUGCACACACACACGAGAGAACAGAAGGAAAAAGCACAGCAAAGAAAUGCAGAAACAACAAAGAAACAUAGGCACAGAGACACAAAAACAAAAACAAGCAAACACUUUCGCCCAUGCAGCAGGAAAAAGGAUAGAAACAGUAGAACACAUGAACACAUGAGCCACGGACGCCGAAAGAACCAGAGGCAACAGACAUGAAAUGCAGAAGAAGCCAAACAGAGCAGGAAGAACAGCAAGCAACUGGAACAUGUACGCUUAUGCUUUCAGCUGGCAGGAGAAAAGAAACAGAACCAGGGACAAACACAUGCAUGAAGGAAAUGGCACAGCAGAGAAAGCAGAUGGGACAGCACAGAAAAUAGAGACAGAAACACAGAAGAAACAGAUCAGGAGAGUAAUGAUUCACGUUGUCCAUUCUCUAUAUAAGGAGAAGACGGGAACAGCGAAAAGGAGGAGAAGCAAUGUAAAAAAAAUAUAUAGAGGAAGAGGGACCGAAGGACGUGAGGCAGAGAGCUAAGAUGAGAAGGAGAGAGAGCUAAGACAAAAACGAAGAAGGAGGAGUCUAGAAAGGAAGAGAAUACGGUGACUGGAAAGAGAGAGCUCAGACAGAGGAAAGAGAGGACCGGAAGACAUGAAACAGAGGCUGAGACGGAGGAGAGGGUGAAAACAGAGACAGGAGAGGACGUGGCGGAGGAGCUUUUCUUUCUGGAAAAGCUGAGAAGGAAACGAGGGAGGCUAGAAGCUGAACGAAAAAAAGAUAGAGACGGAGAGAGGUGAAACAGAGGCUAAGGGAGAAAGACUAUUCCGGCUGGAACAAAGUAGAGGAAACGAAGAAGAGGAGCGCGUUUUUUAGCUGGAGAAAGGAAGGAGAAACGUACGCACGGAAGAAACAAAAAAUAGAGCACGAAAGGAAAAGAAGAAAAGAGGCGGAGAGGAGAAAGAAGAAACAAAAACGGAGAGGAGAAAGAAGAGGAUGAGACGCGAAGGAAAAUUUUCUCAAAACAAAGAAAACGAAGAAGAGGAAGAGAUCAAAGAGGGAGGAGUGACAGGAGUAGUGAGACAGAUCUGGAUGUCCCAUACACGCAGAGAAAAUUAUUGCUGCAAUCCCAUGAGAUGUUGAGGCAUGUAGAUAUGCUCUUAGAUGUGGGGCUUGAAGAGUUCAACUGAACCUUAUCUUGAGGAUGCAUUUCUUUGAUCAGGUCGAUACAUUAUCAACAUUUUUGGAGCUUUGUGGAUGUUUUUGGAAGGCUUUUAGAUGAAGAAAUCAAGCACAAAAUGAAUGAUUUUCGUUAGCUGCAAAAACAGUGCAAAACUGCCAAAGUCGUCUGAAAGUCGUGACUUUUGUUCGCAACUUUCAUCGCUAUUAGAAAAACGCUGCGUUUCAUUUAUCAAAAAUUGGUUGGCUAGGACAUAUAUAUGCUGAUAGCUCGACCCAGAAUGCAUUCUUGAGACUUUUAGACACUUUUGGAGCUUGGUUGUGCUAGGGUUUGGGCAUUGGAUGAGUUGGGAUCAAGAGAUUGAAGCUUUGAAGAUAUUUAGAGCUCAUUUUCUUCAGUUUUUCUAUUCCUCUUCCCUUUCCUCGCUUGUAAUCUGAAAUGGGUCUAUUUAUUUUGAUAUUUAUAGCUUGUGGAUGAUUAUGAGUAGCUAAACCCUUUGUUCUAGGAUUAUUUGAAACCUUUGUAUGGAUUAACAUUAUAUUUCUCCUCUC